rnacentral:rRNA from 1 species
GAGUUUGAUUCUGGCUCAGGAUGAACGCUAGCGAUAGGCUUAACACAUGCAAGUCGAGGGGCAGCAUGAACUUAGCUUGCUAAGUUUGAUGGCGACCGGCGCACGGGUGCGUAACGCGUAUGCAACUUGCCUUACAGAGGGGGAUAACCCGUUGAAAGGCGGACUAAUACCGCAUACACUUGCUUGGUUGCAUGAUCGGGCAAGGAAAUAUUUAUAGCUGUAAGAUAGGCAUGCGUCCCAUUAGCUGGUUGGUGAGGUAACGGCUCACCAAGGCAACGAUGGGUAGGGGAACUGAGAGGUUUAUCCCCCACACUGGUACUGAGACACGGACCAGACUCCUACGGGAGGCAGCAGUGAGGAAUAUUGGUCAAUGGGCGAGAGCCUGAACCAGCCAAGUCGCGUGAAGGAAGACUGUCCUAAGGAUUGUAAACUUCUUUUAUACGGGAAUAACGGGCGAUACGUGUAUUGCUGUGAAUGUACC